CAGCAGCCGCGGGAAUACAGAGGGUGCAAGCGUUAAUCGGACUUACUGGGCGUAAAGGGCGCGUAGGUGGUUAUGUAAGUGAGAUGUGAAAUCCCCGGGCUCAACCUGGGAACUGCAUCUUAUACUGCGUAGCUGGAGUGCAGUAGAGGGUAGUGGAAUUUCCGGUGUAGCGGUGAAAUGCGUAGAUAUCGGAAGGAACACCAGUGGCGAAGGCGGCUACCUGGACUGACACUGACACUGAGGCGCGAAAGCGUGGGGAGCAAACAGGAUUAGAUACCCCAGUAGUCCCUGUCUCUUAUAU
rnacentral:rRNA from 1 species